AUUGAACGCUGGCGGCAGGCCUAACACAUGCAAGUCGAACGAGGGGCGGACGGGUGAGAAAUGUGUGGGAAACUGCCUGAUGGAGGGGUAUAACCACUGGAAACGGUAGCUAAUACCGCAUCCCAUCAGAUGUGCACAGAUGGGUGUAGCUAGUAGGUGGGGUAACGGCUCAUCUAGGCGACGAUCCCUCGCUGGUCUGAGAGGAUGACCAGCCACACUGGAACUGAGACACGGUCCAGACUCCUACGGGAGGCAGCAGUGGGGAAUAUUGCACAAUGGGCGCAAGCCUGAGGCAGCCAUGCCGCGUGUAUGAAGAAGGCCUUCGGGUUGUAAAGUACUUUCAGCGGGGAGGCGUUACCCGCAGAAGAAGCACCGGCUAACUCCGUGCCAGCAGCCGCGGUAAUAC
rnacentral:rRNA from 1 species